UUCCCUAACUUAUUGUAGACAUUGUGGUGUGUAGUGUCAGCAAAUGUCUUAUUUUGUGCAUGUCCACAUUUCCUCUGGUGAGCUGCAAGGGCUCUGGGUCGAUUUGGAAAUGGUCUGGAUGAACGUGGCAUGCUUUACCUUGCAGUAUGCAGACUUUGUUUAAGGUUCAACUAACACGACAGUUAUAGGCACAGAAAUAUUUCACAGCAACAAUUCCUCGGCUAACCUAAGCACAAACGUUCCCAUCACUCCUGCACACUUCCACUUUUUCGCCCUUCUAUAAUGUCCCGUUUGAACCUUGUUUUCCCACACGGCGGGUUUUCAUGGGAGAACCAGUUUACUUCUCAGAUGAGCCCACUUAAUAUUGUCAGAAAAAAACACAGCGACUGGUGUUCUCGUUUGAUAGCGUCACACAUCACGGCAUUAUUGUGACAAUUUUGAAAUCAAAAUAAGGUUAUAUUUACAAUAAUGUUGCAUCCCUCGUCAAGAUCCUUUCUCAUAGGUUUGGUUUGCUGUUGUGUAUUUACUAAUGAUUGGCAUUAGCAUCCACAACUUUCUUUUUAUAGUGUGUGUUGUAUUGUGAUGAGUUACAUUUAACACUGUGGAUGAUGUGUUACCACAAACACAGAAGAUACGUAAACAUGAACUACAAUGCGCUCAAGAUGUGGGGAAAAAGGAAAUGCAUUCCAUUAGCUGGAUUUGUAUAAUGUGUUCAAUUUAUGUCAACUUCCUUCUUGUUUUGUCUGUUUUUUUUUUCAAUGAUUUGAAUCUUUAGAGUUUUUUGGUUCCUCUUCUUUGUGUCAGGGGGUAGCAGCAGGGUAACACUGCAUGAGGCGGUGCCCCCUGAAGGAGCCCAAAACACUGCUCUUCAAAUGGAACACAUCCAACCUUCAGGUGACCGUGCAGGAUGUACCACUCUGGAACAUCAAGCCUCUCCCCACCUGCCAGGUACACCCACCGUCUUCUGUGGCUGAAUAAUGUUUUGCUGUGAAUUUUGUCUCAAAGCAAAUCCUGCUCAAAUGUGACAAACUUUGGAGUGUAAGAAUGUGAGCGAUAUGCUGAGAUGUUAUACGUUUUGCCUUGUGACAAAAUGUUAUCAAAAACCUUUAGUGAUUUGUAUUCUAUUUUACUUUCAGCACAUGAAAAUAUUUCUACUUCUGACCAUCGAAGAGAAUGGAAAACCAUUUUCCAGAUCAGCCCUCAUACAUCCUCCUGAUGGCCUAACAACUGAAUGACAUGUCGAUGCUGAGUAUGAUCCAUUUCAAUCAUUUGAGGAAGCUCUCCCUGAUAUAGGGGAUUGGAUGUACAAUGACGGACAUACGUUUAAUGAAGGAUUUGAAGAUGGUUUGAGUGAGGAGUGUGCAGAAGAGUCCAAUUUCAAGGACACAACAGACAAACCAAUACAUGACAAUGCAUCAGAAACCAUGGCAGAGUGCCUUCUGAUCAGCAUGGGUUAUGUAAACUGUCCUAAAGUCACAGGUAAGGCCCUAAGCCAUAUGCUCAAAAUGUUCAAGUUGCUUUAUCCCGAUAGUCUGAACACAGACUGCUUAAACAGUGUGCAGAAGUUCCAAAACUUUUUUUUAUCCCACUCUGCAUCAUCGCCUACUAUAUUACAUAAAUCCUCCAAGAAUUGUUUUGGGCCAAUAGAAAGUAAACAAAUAAAAUGCCUGCUUUGUGGGACCAGUGUGUCAGAAGAAAGAUUCUCAUCCUUUUUUUAAAGUAUGUACAGAUUGAUUUCUUGUUUACCACAGCACAUUCAUGUGCCAAAUGGGCCCUCGUUGGUGAAUAUAAACAUGCAGGUUUUUCUUUGCUGCAAGAUAGUGUAACAUAUGAGACAUGCAGUCAUGUUAUUCCCCUAUUGGAAACCUCUGCAGUACAGUAGUAUUCUUGGAUGACAUAUUGGGUAAAGUUGUUUUCCUUGACUUCACAUCUAUGCCUGGCAUAGUGAUUGCAGUUCAUUUCCCCAACACACUUGAAAAGUUUGAAAUAAUGAAGAACUGAACUGGCCUAAGAAGCCACAAAUCAAAUCUUUAAUCAUUGUUAUAAAUGCUCUGAAAAUACACACUGAUGUGAUGUUGCCGUGGAUUCUGUAAAUAUGUACUGUAUAUGGAGUAUCAUUGUUGAUGAUGUUUUUGCAUUGUGUGUAAUAUUUCAGUGGCAAAUAUAUUACAUUUACUUGUUUAAUAAAGCCACUGUCUUUUUUAAUGAAUACAUAGGCCUACUAUGCUACUGCAUUUUAAUAUUAGUCCUUAUGAUGGUGGUUGGAGAGCCAAAUAUCUUCUGAAGUGGUACUUUGUUAAAAGAGUUUGAGAACCACUGCUCUAGAAAGUUCACAAAUGUUAAAAGCUCUUACAAAGUGUCUUGUGAUCAUAUCAGUAUUGUUUGGGUUCAGUUUUAAAUCUCACAAUUGUAGUCACUGAGUUACUGUACAUGACGUGUGGAUAAGAAAUCAACAAAUUAAGUCCAACUUUAUUUAAAUAAACCAUUUAGAUUACAGACCAUAUAUCCAUAUUGUCUGAAUUCAUUAUUUUCUCCCAAUGUUGGCAUGAGAUCAACUGGAAUAUGAUUGAGGUAUAACUAAAUUGAGCCCAUUAAAAUGCAUUUUUUUAGAAAACGGGUAUAUCUAACAACUCAAAUAGUGAGCAGUGAGAGACAAAACCAAGUAUAUCUCUCACUGAGACAUCAUUGAGACAUAUUGAAACCAAUACUCAUCAAUUGUCUUUUUGCCGAAAUAGAAAAGAGACAUCUGAGAACUCAAACAGUGAGUAGUGAGAAACAAAACCAGGUGUUUCUCUCACUGAGUCAUAAUUGAGACAUAUUGGAGACCAGCUCAUUCAUCUCUCAUUUUGGUCUUAGUUGAAAUGGGGAAAAGAGAUAACUAUUAGACAACUAUGAGAUCUCUCAUAAUGCUCACUGUGAGCCUUAUUUCUCAGGAGAUACAUUUGAGAAGAAUGAGAAAACUACUUUGGUCUCCAUUAGUGCUCUUUUAUGUCUAGGAGAUAUAUAUAAGACAUACAUGAGAUCUCAUCUUCAAUUUUGCUUUGCUAUGGGAAACAAGUGUUUGAUGAGCAUUCCUCAACUUUUUCGGUCUUUUUUGACACUCGUGCCAGCUUUUUUUAAGCAUGUUGCAGGCAUCAAAUUCCAAAAUGAGCUAAUAUUUGCAAAAAAAAAAGUUUCUCAGAUCCAACAUCAAAUAUCUUGUCUUUGCAGUCUAUUCAAUUGAAUAUAAGUUAAAAAGGAUUUACAAAUCAUUGUAUUCUGUUUUUAUUUACCAUUUACACAACGUGCUACUUCACUGGUUUGGGGUUUUGUACAUGUUGACAGUACAUUGCAGUGUUAUUUUGUUACAGCCGUGCCCACUGUGUGAAGUACUUUUGCAAGACUCCUAGCAAUAAUAUUACACUUCACCAAAGAGCCUGCUGUAAAAGAAAUGACCAUUGAAUGAAGAUACAUACUCAGGUCACCGUGAUCUGAAAAGGAGAGUGAAGAAUGUUUUUGUAUUCCCCAGAUUCUAAUCAUCUUGGAUGAAUAAACAAGCAAUUCCUAAUUUCACUUGGAAAUGUGUUUACUAUAAAAGUGUAGCACUGUUUCCACACAAAAUACCUUCUGUUUUUGGAAAGAUGCCCAUGUGUGUCUUCCAGGUUGAACAUUCCACCCUUUGUGCCUGCCCGGACUGUGCUGGAAGGCCUCGAGUCAGAGGAUGCGUGUGAAGACAAGAAAGCUGUAAAAAAGGAGAUCCAUAGCAAAAAGGUCAAAUAAGUACAAACAAGUAUUUUACCUCGAUUAUUAACAGUUUAUUUUGCCCAAAAAUGUUAAGGGAGCCAAAAAGGACAAAAUGGAAGAGGAGAAUACAGACCUGCUCAGACUUUGCCACACAGUACCGCUGGAGGUGGUGAACUUAGGUAAGAAUCCAUGUUUCAAGGUUGAUCGGGGUGGGGGGAAGACAACGACACAAAGGUGCUCCUCUUAUUUAGACUUUUUGUUUAUGGAGGUGGGAAAGGUUACGAUCCAGAGAAGAAAGACUACUCAGGUUUUGAGGCCUGGUUGCAGUGUUACUAUGUGGAUGGAAUGAAGUCUGUACGCGACCACAAUGGCAGGACUAUGUGGUUCAAAGUAUGCAAACACAUUUUCAUACGUAACAACUAUAUUUGUAGCAUGUAUUGACUAAUAGAAAAUGGUGUCAUUUCAGGGCGAUCCAGGUCCUAUGGCUCCUAAAGGUAAACGCCAGAAAAAAUAGUUGAGAUACCAUUACACAUAAGAGAAAGCUUAGUGUGUCUUUAUCUUUUCUCACACACCAGAAUCAAAGUCUCCAAAGGCCAAAAAGAGAAAAGAUACAGAUGCAGACCAUGAUUACCCCCGCAAGAAAAAGGUAUAUUCAGUAGGUAAUCACCACCAGCACAUAGAAAUCUAACCCCAUUGUGGCUGUACUUCAGGUGUCCAGGAAACACAACUCUGACAGCACAGUGAAGAAAAAAGCAGCCAAAAAGCCCACAAAAGCAGCAAAGGAAGAAGAAAAUGGACCUCAAGAAGAAGCCACACCCAGAAGAAGAUCAGCAAACACACCUCAGCAAGAACCGAAUCCACGUCAGGCAGGAGGAAAAAGAACAAUACAGAGCCAGCUGCAGGCUUCAAGACACGUAGCGGGAGACUGACAAGACAGAAUGUCAAGUAAAGGACAUCUAUUGGAAAAUACUGUUUUUAUUCCAUGAUACAUAUUUUUAAUAAACAUUCCACACGUUUA